GUCAGCGGCGGAACGGGUGAGUAACACGUGGGGUAACCUGCCUGUAAGACUGGGAUAACUCCGGGAAACCGGGGCUAAUACCGGAUAGUUCUUUUCCUCGCAUGAGGAAAAGUGGAAAGGCGGCUUCGGCUGCCACUUACAGAUGGACCCGCGGCGCAUUAGCUAGUUGGUGAGGUAACGGCUCACCAAGGCAACGAUGCGUAGCCGACCUGAGAGGGUGAUCGGCCACACUGGGACUGAGACACGGCCCAGACUCCUACGGGAGGCAGCAGUAGGGAAUCUUCCGCAAUGGACGAAAGUCUGACGGAGCAACGCCGCGUGAGUGAUGAAGGUUUUCGGAUCGUANAGCUCUGUUGUUAGGGAAGAACAAGUGCCGUUCGAAUAGGGCGGCACCUUGACGGUACCUAACCAGAAAGCCACGGCUAACUACGUGCCAGCAGCCG
rnacentral:rRNA from 1 species